rnacentral:rRNA from 1 species
AUUGAACGCUGGCGGCAGGCUUAACACAUGCAAGUCGAGCGAGCGGCGGACGGGUGAGUAAUGUCUGGGAAACUGCCUGAUGGAGGGGGAUAACUACUGGAAACGGUAGCUAAUACCGCAUACCAUCAGAUGUACCCAGAUGGGAUUAGCUAGUAGGUGGGGUAAAGGCUCACCUAGGCGACGAUCUCUAGCUGGUCUGAGAGGAUGACCAGCCACACUGGAACUGAGACACGGCCCAGACUCCUACGGGAGGCAGCAGUGGGGAAUAUUGCACAAUGGGCGCAAGCCUGAUGCAGCCAUGCCGCGUGUAUGAAGAAGGCCUUCGGGUUGUAAAGCACUUUCAGCGGGGAGGCGUUACUCGCAGAAGAAGCACCGGCUAACUCCGUGCCAGCAGCCGCGGUAAUUC